UACGGGGGGGGCAAGCGUUGUUCGGAAUUAUUGGGCGUAAAGAGCGUGUAGGCGGCCAGGUAGGUCCGGUGUGAAAACUCGAGGCUUAACCUCGAGAUGUCAUCGGAAACCAUCUGGCUAGAGUCCGGAAGAGGAAAGUGGAAUUCCUGGUGUAGCGGUGAAAUGCGCAGAUAUCAGGAAGAACACCAAUGGCGAAAGCAGCUUUCUGGGACGGUACUGACGCUGAGACGCGAAAGCGUGGGGAGCGAACAGG
rnacentral:rRNA from 1 species